ensembl:lncRNA novel transcript, antisense to KIF2B
GGCAGACUACAUUAAUUAUAACAUCAAGAAAAUGCUCUCUCCUGAAAAGAAUACUUUAUGAACUCAGGGGAAAUGUAUUUUUCUUCUCCAACAGUACAAAGUAACUUAAAUUUGAUUAAUAGAUUAUGAAACGCUGAGUGGAUUCGUUUUCAGAAUUAGACAGAUUUGUGGAGAAGUGGCCUUGGUCUUCCAGGGCUCAAUGACUUUGACAGCAGUGAUAACAGAGUGCCGGAAGGUAGAUUCAGAUGACUUUCUGCUUGGCCCUCCUGUUUAUGUCCUUGGUUUUUAUAAAAUGUCAUUGGGUCAAGGUUUUGGCCAGAGAAUAGCAAGGAUGACUUAUCUCUGCUCCACUAUGUCUGGAACCUCUUGGAAUCAUUUGGAGUCUUCUUCACUCUCUUGCCUGGCACCUGGACUGGGAAAACUUGGAACCCACUGGGACUGUUGACCAAAGCACAAACAUGUGGCCUCUUCAUGUGGCUUGGGCUUUCCACAGCAUGGAGGCUGAUUUCUGAGGAGAGGCCCAAAAAUAAUAUACACAAAGUAAGUAUUUCACAAGAUCUAAGCAUAAGCAACAUGAUCUUUGAUAACCUAGUCUAUGAGGUCCCAUAGGAUCACUUCACCCAUAUUUUAUUGGUUAAAGAAGUCAUUCAGAUUCAUAGGGUAGAGAUAUAGAACACUGUCUCUCAGUGGGACAAAUACCAAGAAAUUUGGGAUCACUUUUUAAAAACCUACACAUAGACAGAAGCAAAGUAAUAAAGGGUCUUUUAAACCAUCAUACAGAGUUUAAUUUUAAUCUAAUUGCAAUAAGAAGCCAUUGCAAACUUUCAAGUAGGACAUUAUGAUGUACGAACAACUGACUUAAGGGACUUUAACUUUAUUCCAUUGCAUAAUAAACACUUAAAAAAAUACCAAGAAGGAAUUUCAUAAAAUCUUGCUAAUGACCAUCAAUUAAAGGAGAGGAGGCUCAUGUUACUUCCUAUUUUUUUUCAAACAACAUGCCAUAACCAAUAUUUUGAAAAAAUAUAUUGUGUUAGGCCAGGCAUGGUAGCUCAUGGCUGUAAUUCCAGCACUUUGAGAAGCCAACGUGGGAGAAUAUUUUCAGUUUAGGAGUUCAAGACCACCUGGGCAACAUAGUGAGAACUCAUCUUUAAUUAAAAUGGAAAAAAAA